rnacentral:misc_RNA from 1 species
GAUGAAGAACGCAGCGAAAUGCGAUAAGUAAUGUGAAUUGCAGAAUUCAGUGAAUCAUCGAAUCUUUGAACGCACAUUGCGCCCCUUGGUAUUCCGAGGGGCAUGCCUGUUCGAGCGUCAUUAUAACCCUCAAGCUCAGCUUGGUGUUGGGGCCUGCUGCACUGGCAGCCCUUAAAAUCAGUGGCGGCGCCAUCUGGCUCUAAGCGUAGUAAUUCUUCUCGCUAUGGAGUCCUGGUGGAUGCUUGCCAUCAACCCCCAAUUUUUCUAUGGUUGACCUCGGAUCAGGUAGGGAGACCCGCUGCACUUAAGCAUAUCAAUAAGCGGAGGA